AAAGCACAGCAGGUAAUCGCUUUUUUAAAGAGGAAAGUCCGAGCUGCCAUAAGACAGAGUUCCAUCUAACAGAUGGCUAGGGCGACCUAAGGGAAAGUGUAACAGAAAGCAAACUACCGAAAAAUCGGCAAAGGUGAAACGGCGGGGUAAGAGCCCACCAACGAGCUUGGCAACAAGUGCGUUUAUAAACCCAACUCGCAGCAAGAAGGGGUGGUUUUUAGUCUUAUAUUAAAACCCUUCGCUAAAUUUUGUAUGCAAAUGCAAAAUAAGAUAAAUGAUUACCAAAAACAGAACUCGGCUUAGGGCUGUGCUUUGUGA
rnacentral:RNase_P_RNA from 1 species